AUACUUAAGUAGCAGAAGGAGAUACCAUGCUACUAAGAUGGUUUUCCCAGGGUGAAGUUCAUCCAUUACACUCCAGGUGUGGUGCUCCCUGAUAUUUUCCUUAAUGAGAAACUUGACUGCAUAAUUGGUGAUAGUAGGGUUACUGUGUCCAUGGUCUUCCCUG